rnacentral:snRNA from 1 species
CCACAGCGAGGAUAGUGGUAUGGCCUUUGCUCAAGGAUGACAUGCAAAUUGGUGAAGUGUUCCAUUUUUUU